UCUCUCUCUCACUUCUGCAAAGUCUCUCUCACACUAACUCUCGAGCUCUCGAGUUCUCUCUCAAGCCCGAGAGUCUCAAACCUCACUACCACCUAAAGUUCUUCAAAAAUCAAACCCCGAACCUAUAUUUUCGAGAUUAAUGGAACUCAGGGAACUUGGUGAUGAUCUUGCAUGCACCAUCAGUGCACCAUGAGGUGCAGUUCCAUUGAAAUCCGAGAGCUCCGAGCUCUAACCUUAAACUCAGCGAAUUCUGGCAAUUUCCGUUGAAUUCAAGAGAAAGAGGACGAACUUCGGCGAGUUUAAGGUCCAUUUCUUCCCAAAACUUGCUGCAAUGCAUCUGGUUUCCAACGACAUUUUUUUUGAGCAAUAAACGUCGAAUCCGAACUGGAUUUGACCUCUCCUUCUCCUAAACCAGUUUUAGAUUCCAGCACCGGCGAACGGCGGAGGUCAUUAGUUUUGACGGAGGCGUCGACGGUUCCUCAAAAGAACAGUAGUGUGAUGGAAUUGUCUAUAUUAUUAUUUUCACAGAACUAGGGUUACAGCUUUAUACACAUAUUACAUAUCACGAUCCUAUUCUACUGCC